UCCCCCUCUAUCUCUCCCCUUGGCCCCCCUUUCCCCUAAUUCCCCCGUUAAUUUUCCUCGUUUUCCCCUCCGCUCCAAUGUUUUUAAAUGCUGUGGUAUUUUGACUAUACAAAGGUAUUGAAAUAAGACUUUAAUUGAGUGCUAAGAGAAUGGAAUUUCAUAAAAUUUUUUUUUAAUUUUAAAAAUUGAAAUUAAUUUUAUAUGUGAAGAAACAAUAAUAAAAAUUAAGGACAAGAAGACCCUAAGAAUUUUAAAGAAUUCAAUAAAAUACAAAAUUUUAUUGAAUUCUUUUAAUUGGGGCGAUUAUUAAAUAUUAAAAACUUUAAUUUUUUUAAAAAAGAACCAAUAAUAUUGGUUAUUUGAAAAAAUACUCUAGGGAUAACAGCGUAAUAAUUUUUGAUAGUUCUUAUAGACAAAAUAGUUUGCGACCUCGAUGUUGGAUUAGGAUUCUUUUUUAAUGAAGAAGUAAAAAAAGAAGUUUUCAACUUUUA
rnacentral:rRNA from 1 species